rnacentral:rRNA from 1 species
ACACAUGCAAGUCGAACGAUGAUGCCCAGCUUGCUGGGCGGAUUAGUGGCGAACGGGUGAGUAAUACGUGAGUAACCUGCCCUUGACUCUGGGAUAAGCCUGGGAAACUGGGUCUAAUACUGGAUACUACCUCUUACCGCAUGGUGGGUGGUGGAAAGGGUUUUACUGGUUUUGGAUGGGCUCACGGCCUAUCAGCUUGUUGGUGGGGUAAUGGCUCACCAAGGCGACGACGGGUAGCCGGCCUGAGAGGGUGACCGGCCACACUGGGACUGAGACACGGCCCAGACUCCUACGGGAGGCAGCAGUGGGGAAUAUUGCACAAUGGGCGGAAGCCUGAUGCAGCGACGCCGCGUGAGGGAUGACGGCCUUCGGGUUGUAAACCUCUUUCAGUAGGGAAGAAGCGAGAGUGACGGUACCUGCAGAAGAAGCGCCGGCUAACUACGUGCCAGCAGCCGCGGUAAUACGUAGGGCGCAAGCGUUGUCCGGAAUUAUUGGGCGUAAAGAGCUCGUAGGCGGUUUGUCGCGUCUGCUGUGAAAGCCCGGGGCUCAACCCCGGGUCUGCAGUGGGUACGGGCAGACUAGAGUGCAGUAGGGGAGACUGGAAUUCCUGGUGUAGCGGUGAAAUGCGCAGAUAUCAGGAGGAACACCGAUGGCGAAGGCAGGUCUCUGGGCUGUUACUGACGCUGAGGAGCGAAAGCAUGGGGAGCGAACAGGAUUAGAUACCCUGGUAGUCCAUGCCGUAAACGUUGGGCACUAGGUGUGGGGGACAUUCCACGUUUUCCG